rnacentral:misc_RNA from 1 species
AGUCGACACCAUUAGCAAGCCACUAAUAAUUCAUUGUAAUAAUUCCGUAGCAGUAUUUUCUCCAUAAAUGACAAAUAUGUAAAAGGUAUCAAGCAUAUGGAAUUAAAGUAAUUUGUUGUUAAGGAGAAAGUUCAGAACCGAAAAGUGUGUAUUAAGCAUAAUAAUAAUAUUAAUUUCAUGAUAGUAGAUCCUUUAAUUAAGGGUUUACAACCUAAGACAUUUAAA